ensembl:lncRNA
AGACAGAUGUUAAAGUGAUAUUAAGACAAAGCUCCUACAGUUAGCAAACAUUUUCUGAUGUCACUCACCAUGCUGGAGGUGUGACAGACCUUUCAGUGCACACGCACAGGAGAAAGUGAAGUCAUUUUGAUGUUAUCAUCCGGUGCUGCCCUCUCCGAGUUGAACCAAGUGAAGUAGAGGACACACACUCACCUGCACUGUCUCACUUUACUGCACACAUUUUUGCAUCAAAUUCACGAGGAGGCGGUCGUUGCCGAGCCACAGGAGGGCUUCCCCUUGGAGAAGGCCACACGUACCUGAUUUCUUCCUUUGGUACAGGAAGCCCAGUGUGGACUACACUAUCUUUACACUAUUUGCAAUCUGACCAGGAUUUCAUCUUGACCGGUCAUGUUGACCCUGGAUUACAUGUCUGGAGACAGCCUCUAAUUCCUCAUUUCUGAGAUCUGACCACCAC